GAGUAACACGUAUCCAACCUGCCCUUUACUCGGGGAUAGCCUUUCGAAAGAAAGAUUAAUACCCGAUGGCAUAAUGAUUCCGCAUGGUUUCAUUAUUAAAGGAUUCCGGUAAAGGAUGGGGAUGCGUUCCAUUAGGUUGUUGGUGAGGUAACGGCUCACCAAGCCUUCGAUGGAUAGGGGUUCUGAGAGGAAGGUCCCCCACAUUGGAACUGAGACACGGUCCAAACUCCUACGGGAGGCAGCAGUGAGGAAUAUUGGUCAAUGGGCGUUAGCCUGAACCAGCCAAGUAGCGUGAAGGAUGAAGGCUCUAUGGGUCGUAAACUUCUUUUAUAUAAGAAUAAAGUGCAGUAUGUAUACUGUUUUGUAUGUAUUAUAUGAAUAAGGAUCGGCUAACUCCGUGCCAGCAGCCGCGGUAAUACGGAGGAUCCGAGCGUUAUCCGGAUUUAUUGGGUUUAAAGGGAGCGUAGGUGGACUGGUAAGUCAGUUGUGAAAGUUUGCGGCUCAACCGUAAAAUUGCAGUUGAUACUGUCAGUCUUGAGUACAGUAGAGGUGGGCGGAAUUCGUGGUGUAGCGGUGAAAUGCUUAGAUAUCACGAAGAACUCCGAUUGCGAAGGCAGCUCACUGGACUGCAACUGACACUGAUGCUCGAAAGUGUGGGUAUCAAACAGGAUUAGAUACCCUGGUAGUCCACACAGUAAACGAUGAAUACUCGCUGUUUGCGAUAUAC
rnacentral:rRNA from 1 species